UACGUAUGGUGCAAGCGUUAUCCGGAUUUACUGGGUGUAAAGGGAGCGCAGGCGGGAAACUAAGCGGAUCUUAAAAGUGCGGGGCUCAACCCCGGGACUGCAUUGGAAACUGUUCAUCUAGAGUGCUGGAGAGGUAAGUGGAAUUCCUAGUGUAGCGGUGAAAUGCGUAGAUAUUAGGAGGAACAUCAGUGGCGAAGGCGGCUUACUGGACUGAAACUGACACUGAGGCACGAAAGCGUGGGGAGCAAACAGG
rnacentral:rRNA from 1 species